CUCACAAUAAUUAACUGAGUCAAACACAGUUUGCUGUUUGAAACUCUUCCAAUUAACUGCUCCUCUAGUACUUCUCAAGUAGUUUGAGAAUGCUUUUCAUAGUUUCAAAAGAUCCUAUCAUGGAUCUGCCUGAAAUCAAUGAUUAUGCAUAUGGCAUAAAUCACAUCAGGCUUGGUACAUUGAAUAUAUGGAUAAGUAAACAC
rnacentral:lncRNA from 1 species